GGGAAGCCGUAGAGAAAUCGAGUCCGAACAGGGCGAUAGUCGCUGGGUGUAGACCCGAAACCAAGUGAUCUACUCAUGGCCAGGAUGAAGGUGCGGUAACACGCACUGGAGGUCCGAACCCACUAAUGUUGAAAAAUUAGGGGAUGAGCUGUGGGUAGGGGUGAAAGGCUAAACAAACUUGGAAAUAGCUGGUUCUCUCCGAAAACUAUUUAGGUAGUGCCUCAAGUAUCACCAUCGGGGGUAGAGCACUGUUAUGGCUAGGGGGUCAUCGCGACUUACCAAACCAUUGCAAACUCCGAAUACCGAUGAGUGCGAGCUUGGGAGACAGACGUCGGGUGCUAACGUCCGGCGUCAAGAGGGAAACAACCCAGACCGCCAGCUAAGGUCCCAAAGAUUGGCUAAGUGGAAAACGAAGUGGGAAGGCUAAAACAGUCAGGAUGUUGGCUUAGAAGCAGCCAUCAUUUAAAGAAAGCGUAAUAGCUCACUGAUCGAGUCGUCCUGCGCGGAAGAUGUAACGGGGCUAAGCCAGUCACCGAAGCUGCGGAUAUGCGUAAGCAUAUGGUAGGAGAGCGUUCUGUAAGCCUGCGAAGGUGUCUUGUAAAGGAUGCUGGAGGUAUCAGAAGUGCGAAUGCUGACAUGAGUAGCGAUAAUGGGGGUGAAAAGCCCCCACGCCGUAAGCCCAAGGUUUCCUGUUCAACGUUCAUCGGAGCAGGGUGAGUCGGCCCCUAAGGCGAGGCAGAGAUGCGUAGCUGAUGGGAAGCAGGUUAAUAUUCCUGCACCGUCGUAUGAUGCGAUGGGGGGACGGAUCGCGGAAGGUUGUCUGACUGUUGGAAUAGUCAGUUUCUGGUUCAUAGAAGGCGCUUAGGCAAAUCCGGGCGC
rnacentral:rRNA from 1 species